rnacentral:lncRNA from 1 species
GGUAAUAGAAAUGAUUUAUAUCGAUGAUUUUAUCUUAUCGUUAGAUAUAGUUUGGUUAAUAUAAUUUCAAUGGAUUAUUCUUGAGGGUUACUCGGUGAAACGAUUAGAACGAGCCGAUAAGAAAUCCGAUUGAGAUAAGACCAAAUAGAAGAAGAAGAGUAAGAAGAAGAAGAAGAAGAAGGUGAGGGUGGAAA